rnacentral:rRNA from 1 species
CCUACGGGAGGCAGCAGUGGGGAAUAUUGGACAAUGGGGGGAACCCUGAUCCAGCCAUGCCGCGUGUGUGAAGAAGGCCCUCGGGUUGUAAAGCACUUUCAGUGAGGAAGAACGCCUGGUGGUUAAUACCCAUCAGGAAAGACAUCACUCACAGAGGAAGCACCGGCUAACUCCGUGCCAGCAGCCGCGGUAAUACGGAGGGUGCGAGCGUUAAUCGGAAUUACUGGGCGUAAAGCGCGCGUAGGUGGCUUGAUAAGCCGGUUGUGAAAGCCCCGGGCUCAACCUGGGAACGGCAUCCGGAACUGUCAAGCUAGAGUGCAGGAGAGGAAGGUAGAAUUCCCGGUGUAGCGGUGAAAUGCGUAGAGAUCGGGAGGAAUACCAGUGGCGAAGGCGGCCUUCUGGACUGACACUGACACUGAGGUGCGAAAGCGUGGGUAGCAAACAGGAUUAGAUACCCGGGUAGUC